rnacentral:tRNA from 1 species
GCCGCAAUGGUCUAGUGGUAUGAUUGUCGCUUAGGGUUUCCUAAAGCUUGUGACAGGUCCCCGGUUCGAACCCGGGUUGCGGCC